GUGCAAUGGAAUUGUUUAUUAUCUGAAAAGAUUUUGGAGCAGAAAUAAUUUGUCCAGCCUUAGCACCGAUGGGUAGUAAUUUCUGAUGAAGGAAUGUCUGAAUGAAAGACCCUGAAUGGGCAACAGAGCCAGCAUGAUUUCAAACAACAGGACACGACUUUACAGGAAUGAUAAAUAGAUCUUGUUGCAGAGGUUUAUUUUGGGAUCUUGAAAUUUUACUGGACAAUAAUUCAAAAGCAUGAGAUUUGCUGAUAAAAGACACACUGGGCAGAACCUUCCCAGCCCCUGAACAACAUGGCCAUUGGUGAGACUGUUGGGAAAAGAGGAUGAGAUUGGCAGCAAUAAAGAAGAACUGUCCCAAUUUUCCAGCCAAACGUUGAACAGAGACGUGAGAACCUCACUUGCGAGCAGUCCAUAUUGAUGUAUAGCCCAUGGCCCUCUGUGUUAGACUCCUCAAUGUCUCACUGUCUGGAGAUCUCUGCGAACGAGCUGGAUACCUUAAGAAUAUCAUCAUAUUCUCUUCCAUGGACAAUUGAAGUAUCUUCAUCAGAGCUUGGCAGAAUGAAGGUGGGCCUGUGAGUGUUAAGUUUCUUAUCUUCCUCCUGUAUAAUUUGCUCUGAUUUAUUAUAAUAGUCUUAGCAUUGUUCUAGUUGCAUG